rnacentral:tRNA from 2 species
GCCCCCGUAGUGUAGCUUGGACAACAUUCCGGGCCUCGGUCCCGGAGAUCCGGGGUUCGAAUCCCCGCGGGGGCG